rnacentral:rRNA from 1 species
AGAGCGAACGCUGGCGGCAGGCUUAACACAUGCAAGUCGAACGGGCGUAGCAAUACGUCAGUGGCAGACGGGUGAGUAACGCGUGGGAACGUACCUUUUGGUUCGGAACAACACAGGGAAACUUGUGCUAAUACCGGAUAAGCCCUUACGGGGAAAGAUUUAUCGCCGAAAGAUCGGCCCGCGUCUGAUUAGCUGGUUGGUAGGGUAACGGCCUACCAAGGCGACGAUCAGUAGCUGGUCUGAGAGGAUGAUCAGCCACAUUGGGACUGAGACACGGCCCAAACUCCUACGGGAGGCAGCAGUGGGGAAUAUUGGACAAUGGGCGAAAGCCUGAUCCAGCCAUGCCGCGUGAGUGAUGAAGGCCCUAGGGUUGUAAAGCUCUUUUGUGCGGGAAGAUAAUGACGGUACCGCAAGAUAAGCCCCGGCUAACUUCGUGCCAGCAGCCGC